rnacentral:tmRNA from 1 species
GGGGACGACACGGUAUUGACGAGUUGUCGUAGAUUACGUAUAAGCAUGCAGUGGGCUGUAUGGGAACCACUUAAAUCCACCUGUGCAAACAUUACUUGGCGAGCGUCAGUUCGCUAUGGCCGCCUAAUUUAGGAUUAGAGAAGCCAUUGUCCUCGGAGUUUUCCUCCUAUCUGACUCCAUAUGAGGGCAUCGUACCCGACGGGAUGCAUUCCGGCAGUGCCAUGGGCCGGGACUAAGCUUAGUGGCAAAAUCAUCUGAUUGCCUGUCGUUUGGCUGUCUUGUGAUUAUAAUAAACGACUAAGCAUGUAGAAGGCCUGAUUUUCGCAAUUUUCGGACGAGGGUUCGACUCCCUCCGUCUCCACCC